GCAUGAUAAACCAGCGGCUGACUGGUCUUUGGUCUGCUUGUUGGCUCUGGCUGGAGAACGGGCCCCACUGCCACCACCUUCCUGCGCAGACGCCACUCCGAGUCGUUCGCUGAUUAGACUCCGCAAUCUCGCGGAGUCCAGGUGGCAGCCGCUGCCAAUUAUUCUGUUGUACGGGAGACCGCUUACUUUCCAUGUUACCCAAGACAAAAUAUCAACUAAAGGAUUUGUUACUACAAGAAAAACAGCGUUAGGACUGUAUUGCACCAAAGGAGGCACGAUAUUUUUGAUAAUGUUAACGUUUUUUUGCACCAACUCCAGUCGCGUUUCUCCUUUGAUUUGCCGAGCACCCGCGGUAAUUAUAACUACUUUCGAAUUGCUUGACACGCAAAAGUCUAUAAAUUAUUUUGGAUACUGUAUUAUCAAUUGAGAGCAAUUACUGCUAUUGUCGGUACCUGUAUCGUACUCGACAUACGGAUCAUCGAGAAAAACUGAAGAAUGGCAGUAGUCCAUACCCUCGCCUUCUAGUUUUUUGGGAAAAGCGUCGACUAUCGCAACAUGGCUGCUGAUUUUCUGAAAAUUUGAUUCCUUCAAUGAGUGUAACAAAGUUUUCGUACAAUUAAAUUUACUUGAAACAAUAUCGCAUUGGCACACGCUACUCCGACCAUUCCAGCGCCGACUAUUGUCACUUUGUCAAAGCUAUCUAUUGAAGGAGUUUUUACUCUGCACAAAAGUCCUUCUCGCAAAGAAUUUGGUCUGAUGAGAAAUAUUGUGAUCAAAUUUUUGAUAAAAAUAAAAUAUUAUAAUUUUCUUACUCAAAACAAAUUGCUCUGUAGAUCGUUUUGGUUAGAUUGGUCUUUCUGAACCUAAAAACUUUAUUAGUCACUAAAUUGUAGCUUGAUUUGAACAUUCUCGGGGGAAAUUUUUGAAAAUACGGCACUACCAUUCUCAUUUUAUUUUUAAUAAUUUCUUCAUAUCAAUUCACAAAUCCACUAACAAAAAAGGUCAAAUAAAUAUAAAAAUUUUAUCUACCAGCAUGAUUGACGGAAAACUCUCGAUUGUUUUUGUUGUUAAAUAUUCACACAAAUACUUUAUUGAUAUCACACUUAUAUUAUUACAAUAAAUACAUAGAUUAAAAUGCACCAAA